UACGAAGGGGGCAAGCGUUGUUCGGAAUUACUGGGCGUAAAGGGCUCGUAGGCGGCUUAUCAAGUCAGGCGUGAAAUUCCCGGGCUCAACCUGGGGGCUGCGCUUGAUACUGAUGAGCUUGAAUGCGGGAGAGGAUAGUGGAAUUCCCAGUGUAGAGGUGAAAUUCGUAGAUAUUGGGAAGAACACCAGUGGCGAAGGCGGCUCACUGGCCCGAUACUGACGCUGAGGCACGAAAGCGUGGGGAGCAAACAGG
rnacentral:rRNA from 1 species